AGGAAUGUAUAGCAAUAGCUAGUUGCAUCAUUGUAAAUAUGAUGCAAGAUCGACUAUGUUGAAUAAAAUUCUAGGUAGAAUUAUGAUAAUGACAUUGUCUGCCUAUGUGUCUUGACCAAAUUACGUGCCAGCAGUCGCGGUAAUACGUAGAAGACUAGUGUUAUUCAUGUUUAAUCGGUUUAAAGGGUACCUAGACGGCAGAUCAAGCUUUACGAGCAGGAAAAAGAAAAAGGACUAAUUUGCUAGAGUUACUUACGAGGGGGCUUUAAUGUACUGCUGGUGUAGAGAUGAAAUUCUGUCAUACCUCUUUUCGAAAGAAAAACGAUGGCACAGGUAUAGGCGAAGGCAUCCCCUUAUGUGAUAACUGACGUUGAAGGACGAAGG
rnacentral:rRNA from 1 species